rnacentral:rRNA from 1 species
GACGAACGCUGGCGGCGUGCUUAACACAUGCAAGUCGAGCGGAAAGGCCCUGCUUUUGUGGGGUGCUCGAGUGGCGAACGGGUGAGUAACACGUGAGUAACCUGCCCUUGACUUUGGGAUAACUUCAGGAAACUGGGGCUAAUACCGGAUAGGAGCUGCUGCUGCAUGGUGGGGGUUGGAAAGUUUCGGCGGUUGGGGAUGGACUCGCGGCUUAUCAGCUUGUUGGUGGGGUAGUGGCUUACCAAGGCUUUGACGGGUAGCCGGCCUGAGAGGGUGACCGGCCUCAUUGGGACUGAGGUACGGCCCAGACUCCUACGGUAGGCAGCAGGCGGGAAUAUUGCACAGUGGGCGGAAGCCUGAUGCAGCAACGCCGCGUUCGGGAUGACGGCCUUCGUGUUGUAAACCGCUUUCGCCUGUGACGAAGCGUGAGUGACGGUAAUGGGUAAAGAAGCACCGGCUAACUACGUG